UACACCUACGGGGGGCAGCAGUGAGGGAUAUUGGUCAAUGGGGGAAACCCUGAACCAGCAACGCCGCGUGAGGGAAGACGGUUUUCGGAUUGUAAACUGUUGUCGCAGGGGAAGAAGACAGUGACGGUACCCUGUGAGAAAGUCACGGCUAACUACGUGCCAGCAGCCGCGGUAAUACGUAGGUGACAAGCGUUGUCCGGAUUUACUGGGUGUAAAGGGCGCGUAGGCGGGAUAGCAAGUCAGUCGUGAAAUGCCGAGGCUUAACCUCGGAGCUGCGAUUGAAACUGUUAUUCUUGAGUAUCGGG
rnacentral:rRNA from 1 species